UUUGGAACCUUACCUGGGCUAGAAUGUAUUUUGAUACCUUGAGAAAUUGAGGGUUCCUUCGGGACAAGGUACAAGGUGCUGCAUGGCUGUCGUCAGCUCGUGCCGUGAGGUGUUGGGUUAAGUCCUAUAACGAGCGAAACCCUUUUACUUAAUUGCCAGCACGUAAUGGUGGGGACUUUAAGUACACUGCCCGUGUAAGCGGGAGGAAGGAGAGGAUGAGGUCAAGUCAUCAUGGCCUUUAUGCCCAGGGCUACACACGUACUACAAUGGCAUGUACAAAGGGAAGCUACUUGGUAACAAGAUGCAAAUCUCAAAAGCAUGUCUCAGUUCGGAUUGAGGUCUGCAAUUCGACCUCAUGAAGUUGGAAUCGCUAGUAAUCGCGUAUCAGCAAUGACGCGGUGAAUACGUUCUCGGACCUUGUACACACCGCCCAUCAAGCCACGGGAGUUGGUAGAGCUUGAAGACAGUGGCAAA
rnacentral:rRNA from 1 species